rnacentral:rRNA from 1 species
GAUGAACGCUAGCGGCAGGCUUAACACAUGCAAGUCGAGGGGUAGAGGUUGCUUGCAACCUUGAGACCGGCGCACGGGUGCGUAACGCGUAUGCAACCUACCUUUUACUGAGGGAUAGCCCAGAGAAAUUUGGAUUAAUACCUCAUAGUAUAUGUUUUUCGCAUGUUAGACAUAUUAAAGUUCCAACGGUAAAAGAUGGGCAUGCGUCCUAUUAGCUAGAUGGUAAGGUAACGGCCUACCAUGGCAACGAUAGGUAGGGGUCCUGAGAGGGAGAUCCCCCACACUGGUACUGAGACACGGACCAGACUCCUACGGGAGGCAGCAGUGAGGAAUUUUGGACAAUGGGCGCAAGCCUGAUCCAGCAAUGCCGCGAGCAGGAUGAAGGCCUUCGGGUUGUAAACUGCUUUUGUACGGAGCGAAAAGGCUCUCUCUAAUACAGGGGGCUCAUGACGGUACCGUAAGAAUAAGCACCGGCUAACUACGUGCCAGCAGCCGCCGUAAUAC